AUGUCUUCCUCCUCCUCCUCCGGCGCUUCUCAGACUACCCUCAAUGGGCAGGUCACCGAGAAGCUAACACGCACGAACUACGUGCUCUGGCACACGCAGGUCACUCCCCAUCUGCGCGGCGCCGGCAUCUUCGGCUACGUCGACGGCACCACACCGGAGCCGGCCAGGCUUCAUGUCACCAAGGACAAGGAUGGCAAAGAAAGCGCUGAGCCCAACCCUCUCCACCCAAUCUGGGUCCGGGAGGAUCAGCAGGUGUUGGGCUACUUGCUCAGCACCCUCUCCAAGGAGGUACUCAUCGCAGUGACCACGGUCACCACGGCGCAUGCGCUCUAG
rnacentral:rRNA from 1 species